AUCCAGCUAACGAGUUUCAAAUAGGACGAAACCUGCGUCCUGGAU
rnacentral:hammerhead_ribozyme from 1 species